rnacentral:pre_miRNA from 1 species
UCUUAUGGAUGAACAAAGAAAGUGGUUUCUUGAGGUGGAAACUACUCCUGGUGAAGAUGCUCUGAA